GGGCCGGAAGCUCAUCAGGUAUGAGCGGUCGCCUCAUAAGCGGACGGUAAGUAGGUUCGAAUCCUCUGCGGCCCACCA
rnacentral:tRNA from 1 species